GGCUGCCUACGCCUGAUGCUGAAAACCCCGGAUUAGAAUCUGAGCCGCAGUGAGUCUGGGAACCCAGAUCUGCUCCUCAGUUGGCCAGGGUGACCUCUGAAAAGGAUGAGGCCCCAUACCUACUCAUUGGUCAUGGACAUCUCUAUGUCCUAACAGAGAGCCAUCUUUCGGCCACUGCUCUCCUGCCUCAGGGAUCCGAGGACUGCUCCACUUCUUCUGUCCUGGAGUCCCCCGAAAUGCAAGGCCAGAAGAAAGGUAACAUCAGGAAUCCUAUACCAUCUCCCUUCUGAGGGGACCCUCCUACUAGCCAGGACAAGGUCUGAGCACACCACCCACACAGCCUAAACAGCUUUUCGGAGCUUCUCUGAGACUGUGAGGAUGACCCUGCCUGGCCCCCUUCUGUUUGAUGUUGCACAAUUUCUCAUUGAAAAUGGCCUCAAAGUCUUUGGAGAAGACAUCACCUCCAUCUGUGGGUAGAGCCCCAUGAGUGGUGACAACAGAAAAAAGGCUGCAGCAGUGACCACAAGCCACCUCUUGACUCCAAGCCGGUGGGCGUGAUAGUGCUGUGAGGAAAGGCAGCCUCCAGCGUGGGCCUUGGCCCCGCCGGGCCUUGUCCACCCAGCUGCCUGGAGACAGUUUUGUUAGUCACGCAAGAUGAGCAUCUCCAGAAUCCCACUUGACCUUCCUUUCCUGCACUAUCCUGAGAACUAUCUUUCCAAAAUGUUUGAAUUUGGAUGAAAUCCUCCCACCCUGUUCUGAACUAAGUAAAAUUUCCUGCAGAACAAUGAACACAAGGCACCUCAA